rnacentral:lncRNA from 1 species
UCCAAUUAAACAUUUAUAAUGAGACCAGUACUCAUUCACAAAGAAAACAAAGUACAAUGACUCGACCUCUAGUAGUGAAUGACUUGGAAUGAAAUGCUAUGAUAUGCCUUUACCUAUCUGCGAUGGACCAUAACUGCCAAUGAUUGCACGCUAGGCCGAUCACUAUCUGCAAAAGGGAAAUAAAGGGGUGAGUCUCACAGAUUCAGUGAUCAUCGGCUCAGUGAGCAGGGAGAAUAUGGGAAACAAGCAAUAAGCAGAUCAUUUGAAUGAUAAAACUAGAAUAUAAAAUGCAAUUCUUAUAAACCAAACCACAAUGAGAAUAUUUGUGCCUUGUAACAAUAAUAUCGUAGAAUCAUAAUAGAAUGCUUUCUUUGGCAAACAGUGCCGAAAAUAAGUGUAACAGAAAAAGUUUCAAUCACCGAAAACAUCAUUACCAUCAAAAUAUGAAAUACAAUAUAAAGGUAAGAACGCUCCAAAAAUGUGUGGCAUGUAAAGAAAUCAAAGUGUACAGCCACCUAAAUCAACUCAUGUUUGUCAAGUAAGCACUAUAAGCUUUUAUUUAAACAAUGGGAGCUGCAGAGAAAAUCUUAACUCUCCACCAUGCAAAAGGGCACGAGUUUAAAACUCACAAGGCUCUCGAGUAGGAAAGUAUAAUAUCAACACGUGGACCCACUUCCACUUAAUAACAAUCCGAGAGUUUUACUCCACUGGAUUCCCAUAGCCAUGGUAGUCUCCACGAUAUUGGCCGACAUUGGAGAAUCAAGCGGUUGCUACCGCGCACAUUUAGGAGUCUCACUCUACCGGAUCACUUGUGGCCUAGCCACGUAUACAUAUCACAGGUCGUGGCCCCCGUCACGCCUAACCGCCCGUUGGUGACUCAAAGGUUCUCUAGCUAGUGCUCACUCAUGCAAGAGGGUCACAUUUAACCAAAGUGACAGUCGACCUACUCUCGACACACUUGGUUUGUCAAAACCAUUUUCAAAAAUCAAAUCGAGGUUUCCAAGUCUUUUGCUUAAAACCCUUUGAAAACUAGGUUCAAUAACCUUUCAAAUUACUUUUCACAUAAAAAGGCAUGGUGUAUUCUUUUAUACAAAGAUCAGACUAAUACCGAUACUCAAAACUUGCAUUUUAGAUCAUUUAAACUAUGCAUAUCACCCACAAAUACAAGGCACAAAUUUUGAAUGCAAAACAGCAGAAAAGGCUUGUUUCCCGGUUUCUAAAACACUUUACGUAUAUAGCUCAUCUAUAGAUAUAUCCAAAACAAUUUUCAAAACAACUUGCAUCCACAAUUUCCUACGAGUUCCACCAGCUCAUGCUUUCCACAAUAACAGUGUAUAAAUCAUUAUAAAUCCAUUUAGAAAUCGCCUAUCGAAGCUAAUAGCUCAUGCUUUCCAUAAUUACAUUUAAUGAAAUACGAAAAUGUUUACAAAACGUACAACAUUAUAUAGCUAUGGAAAUUUUUGAAAUAGGCACCCCCUACUCACCUUACAAUAGCGUGACGUUUCAUCGCUAUUGAUUCGGGUGCGUAUCUCGCUAUUUCUACUUGCUAGUCACUCGUUACUUCACCCAGCACGCCACCACGGCAAACUUUUCUACUUAUAUACUUUCUAGCAACAAUCCAAAUUCAAUAAUCUUAGCGUUUAUCAUUCCCAUUUUCCUUCUAUUCAAACAUUACCAUCAUGUUAAUAACUCAUACUAUGCUAGAAUCACCACUUUUCCUCACUUAACCUUGCAUAUUUAUAUACAUCUUAACACAUUUUUACCCAAGUUGCCUUUAUCCUUUGCUUGCGUAAUUCUUUAAAUUAUAAUUACCAGUAACUUAUUUAAGACUCUAAUACAUAUAUUAAUCCUUUCUAAGGAUAUUUAUCAAGUUCAACCAUCAUUUCCACAACAAUAACCUAGCAUAUGGCAGCAACUAUAAUUUCACUUCCAUCAAACAUUUUCUAAGUCUACAUGUACUACCAUUCUCAUUUACAUGUGUCCACCAAGCAUAACAUCAAUAUUCAUUCACAUGCACUAGCAUCCAUAACCUUUUAAGCCUUUCUUAACAACACGUAUCCACACAAUCCAUUUUUUUUUCGAGCUUCCAAUUAAUAUAAUUGCUUUCCAACCAUACCCAUGAAAUCACCAUAACACUGCAUAUUGCACACAAUCAUUCUCAUAAUAUUAAACUAAUCAUAGACUUCAAAUUGUAGCAUUAAGCUUACCACUUGGUUUUAGCUUGGAUUUCACCCAACAAAACUCACACUUUCC